rnacentral:tRNA from 1 species
AAAGUUUUAGUAUAAAAUAGUAUAAUCUAUUGUCAAUAGAUAGGUAUAAACUUUA